UAUUAAUUAAGUAAAUAAAAAACUAUUUCUUAUAUAUAUAUCCAAAUAACACAUUCUCUAUUUUAUUUUACUACAUUUCUUAUCCUCUCUUAAUUAGUGUUCUCUUUAUUACAUCUCCGGUCCAAAUAUAGUAUUAGCACUCUGGCUAAAUGACAUCACCAUAACCUACUAAAAUUAGAUCUCAAUUAAAAAAUUAAGCCUGCACUAAAUUAUACUCAGAAUUAGGACAACUUUUUUACCAAGUGAUGUGAACCAUUCAAUAGCUUGGCUGGCCACAUGCUCACCUCCUUUCUUAUAAAUAAAUGCUCUAAACUUUAAUUUCCUAACAUGUAUACUCGAUCAAAUCCGAAAAGAAGGCAUCAUGGGAGAUUUCAUCAUCCUUUGUCCCCUCUUUCCAAAUGUCGGGGCGUAUUUGCAUACAUCAUAUCAUAUCAUAAUAUAAUAAUAUGAGCUUCGUGCACCCUUUCUCUCCAAAAUACCAAAGUACACCCACUUUCAUCAUUUUGUUUGUUCAAAUUUAAAGUCCUUUCAUAUUUGGUGUUUUGUAGUAUUCUCAAGCAUAUGAUAAAACGAAGUGUAAACCUUGGUGGCCUCUCUUGCUUAACUAUUUUGUCGGCUACGCAAAUAAUGGAAACCGAUUUAAGACUCAUCUUUGUUGUACCUGAGCCAAGCUAUUUGAGGUGUACGGUGGGAAUCUCAUCAAUUAUAUUUUAACUAAAAAACAAAGAAUGAGUGUUCCAGUAUUUUUUCCAAAAUUGCAUUCCAUUAAGUCUAUGCUUCUAGAAAGGAAUGCAUAUAUAGUCAAAUUAAAAACCAAGUAAGGAAACUUAUCUUGUAUUUGUUGCCCUACAUGCAGCUUCGGAAUGCCAGUAACAUAGAUAGAAGAGAAGCUUUAAUUUAUGAUCUGAUUGAAUAGUUUUACUGUUUAAGAAUUUUGUUCCACCCAGCAAUCUUGCUGCUUUCACGGACAAAAAAUUGCACUGCAGAGCAUCACAAAAAUAUAAUAAUUGCUUUAAUCUGAGUGACCACUAUACCGUCCUUAUUAUUCUGUAUUCUUAUUGUAAGCUGGAAAUAAGUUUUCUUAAUUCGUGUACCAGAGUUAAGGAAGGAACAUAUAAGUUUUUAAGCAUAGAAAGGAAAAAGAAUUUGUAGGAACAGAAUAAGCCUGAUAAGAAAUAAAUCAUGGGGUUUUAUUCCUUUGGUUGUGUUCUGAUAUCUAAUGGUAAUAAUAAAUAAGAUAAAAGGAAUAGAGUGAUUUGAAAUUAAUAAUGCUAUCAGUUUAAAUAUUUUUAUGAUAGAAUAAAAAAAAAUGAUUCCAUGCCAUUUCCUAAUUCGAGGAAAAGGGGGAAAAUAUAAGAUAAAAAAAAGGCUCUAUUUCAUUUUAUCUUAUUUUUAAUAAUCCACCCAACAACGAAACUCGAUAUCGUGCAUUCUUUAUUUUGUUCAAACUCUUUUUAUCAAUUCAAACGUAGACUUACAAAAAUUGCAGAUAUGUCAUCAACAAUAAUAGAUUAUAAUUCUAAGGUCCCGUUUGAAAGUUGCAAAUUAUAUUCUCCCGAAUAUGUUGCCAACCCUCCGGCCAAUUGAAAUCUUGUUAUGUGCAGAGAAAUAUAUGCCAAUUCAGCUGCUACUUUGUAGAUUUAGGCAUUGAAAAAGAAUAGCCAGAGAUUAUAUUCCUCUUUAGUUUCACAUAUCCUUCAGUUGAAACCCAAUUAAAAAACCUAUUUAAAACUUUAAUUUACUUUGAUAGAUUAAGUGGAAUUUCUCCUUUAUACUAUUUUGGAUAAAUGAAAUGAAACAGACUACUGUUUCUUUCUUUAAGCAUUGUUUUGCCGGCAGUGAGUCAAAGCCUUACAUGAUACUCAAUCUAAGGCCACCAUACAUUGCAAUAAAAUCACACACGGAUUAGUGAAUCAUUGAAUAAGAUCUCUUGUACCCAUUGGUUUUCUCCGACAAUGUAUUCUAGAUAGUCCAAUGUUGCUUCCUGGAAAUAGCUCUUUCGGGUGCUUUUACCUCCACCACUUAACUCAUUUGUUUCUUUCAUUUUUUUUAAUUUAUGAGAAUUUCCCGUCAUAUUCUUGCGUUCCUGUUGUGUUUACCUAAUAUGAGUGGAAAUUAAUAGAAAAAACGAAAUAGUAGUAGAUAUGGACAAGGACAAUGUAUAAUGUAAAGAAUUAACAUGUUUAUAAGCUGUAGCAUAUGUUUGGAAAUCCAUUGAUGGGCAUACAUGGGUGAAAGGUACCCCUUUGUAUCUCUUAUGUUGAACGCACUUUUGGAGGGCUUAAAAUGUGUUCCAAACAUAAGCUUUUUUUAUCGGUCAGAAAGAUGUUCCAAACAUAAUUUAUUAACCAAGAAAUAUUUUCUAACAAUAUUUUUUAUUUAUAAAACUCAAACAUAAAAUUAUGCUUAAGACAUUCAAACUCAGUUUGACUGAAAACAUGCAUGUCAUUUAGUAAGAAUUUGUAUAUGAUUUUAUUUUAUAUUUAACACUCAUAAAAAUUAUUGACAAAUGUUAGAACACAUUUUUUUAACAUAAUUUUGUAACACUCUUUAUUAUUAAUUUCACAAUUUUGCGGGUUCAUUAAUAAUUAAUAAUCCCAUAUGUAGAGGUUUUAUUUUCGGGGGGAGGGGGUUGUAGGUACCGAUCAAGCUAAAGGGAAAGUUUUAUCGGACUGCGGUAAGACCGGCGAUUUUGUACGGGACAAAAUGUUGGACGGUCAAGAGCCAACAUGAGAAUAAAGUAGGUGUAGCGGAGAUGAGGAUGUUGCGGUGGAUGUGUGGUAAGACUCGACAGGAUAAAAUUAAAAACGAAGCUAUUAGAGAGAGGGUUGGAGUAGCGCCUAUUGUAGAGAAGAUGGUGGAAAAUAGACUUAGGUGGUUUGGGCAUGUAGAGAGAAGACCGGUAGACUCUGUAGUGAGGAGAAUAGACCAGAUGGAGAGAAGGCAAACAAUUCGAGGCAGAGAAAGACCCAAAAAGACUAUAAGAGAGGUUAUCAAAAAGGAUCUCGAACUUAAUGAUUUGGAUAGAAGUAUGGUACUUGAUAGAACAUUAUGGCGGAAGUUGAUCCAUGUAGCCGACCCCACCUAAUGGGAUAAGGCGUUGUUGUUGUUGUUGGAGGGGGGUUGUACAAUCAACCUCAAAGAACAGAACUUUCAAAAAGUACAUUAAUUAUAAAUUAUCAUCCAUCAUAUGUAGAGGUUAAUUUAGAAAAAAAAAAGUGAAAACUUCAGGAUAAUAUUAUAUUGAAACUGAUCAUAGAAGCAGAUCGAAGUGAUGAUACAUUGGAUGUUAAUUUAUUUAGUUGAUAUUCUCAUUAGGCGCGCCCUUAAAUUACUUCUAAGAGGUAACUUGAUGGAAAUCUUAUUUUUAAAAGGUUAGAAAAUGCUUGUUUCAUGGUUGACACGUGUAAAAAUAUCCCGUAUUCUUUGGACAUGCAAACUCAUCAAUGACACAUCUGUAGUUUCAAGUUGGCAUAUUGCUGCAUUUGUCUAAUGUUUAUUAAUUGAAGUUGAGAGAGUUGGCAACUAUUGUUAAUGGUACUCAUCUUAAUGCUUUAAACGAUUAUUAUUUAAGGGGAAUCAUGGUUGCGUAAGUCUCGUGAAAUUAUAUUUUAAAUGUCUUUGGGUUGUGACCUAAGCAUUGACAACCCGGAAGAAAAUGUACCAUACAAAGACAAAAAAAAAAGUAUAGUGAUUGGGGUAGGGGGGAAAAACUAUUUAUAUAGUGUGGGUGUAUUGUUUGUUUUCAUUAGUUAAGAUGGGGAAAUCUUGAGCGUUGGAACUUGGAAUGCUGAAAGAGUAGGGAAAAGAAUUAAAAACCAAAGUUAUACUCAUUAUUUAUAGAAAUGUUAACUUGUAGAUACAAAAUAUAUUGUAUGUAGGAGGGAACUUUUGUAUGUAAAAUUAACAUUUAGUUUAAAGUUAAGUCGCCCAAGUUCCUUAGCCUUUUAAUUUUCACCGUGUAAUUUAUAUACCAUAUUUUCUCUUUUUAAUAAAGUAUUCCAGGGAUUUGGAUAUAAAUCAAACCGUUGCAAGGAGAAAAAUGAUUAUAUUAAGCAAAAACAUUGUCUUUUUCAACUUUUUCCAAAAAGAAAGAAGAAGAAGGAAUAAUAUGUUUCUCGUUCAUACAUAAUUUUUUAUUUUUUAUUUUAUUCUUUAUAAUUUUUUUGUUUGAUCCCGACAAAAUUAUUCAUUUUUUUUUCUAUCUCAACCCUAAUUUUAUUAAAAUACAUGUCUUUAGGUUUUAUUAUUAGAUUUGUUUUGUUGAAUGAUUAAGUGGAAAAAUCAAGUUACGUUAUGUGUCAAUGAUCUAUGACUUGCUCGCAUUUGAAGAAACUUGUUUAAUAACAUAAUGUGUUUUUCUUCUAUAAAAAAGAAAAACUAAAUGUGUAUUUUUUUUCUAAAAAAAAACUAAACGUGUAUUUCAAUAAAGUCAAGUAUCAAAUUAUUUUUUAUUAAGAUUAAAAAAAUGAAUAUAUAGUUUUAAGGAUAAAAAAUGUAUUCAAGAAGAAAAAAACAGUGAUAUUUUAUGAAUAAGGUAAAAAGGAGAAAACUAUUAAUCUGUAGGAAAGUUAUCUGUAGAAAAGUUUGAUCUGUAUACAAAGAAAUGUUCAUGACUAGAGUAAAAAAACAAGCUAAUAUACUCUUUUGAAUAAAUCGACUUUACAAGUACAAGUUAGCGCGCUAACUUUUACUUUAUGAGGCAUUAAUUCCAAUAUCUAGGAGCAAGCAGCCUUUGCUAUUGCAAGAAGCUCUCCAUCCUCCUUUUCUCUUUUGUAACAGAAACAUACCAUAAAUAGAACAAAAUUAGGUAAAAAGCUAUCAAAGCAAUUAAAAAAAGUAUUAAUUACAAUGCUUCAAUACAAUUAAUAAGAGUAUUUCAACUUGUAAUUAACUUCUUUUUGUUUGCAAAUUGCUGCAGCUAUUCCUGGUCCAUCUUUUGCACCAGAAUACUCUCAUAAGGAAUAAGGUUCCUAAGUGGCUUAUUAGUUUUUACAACGUUUGAUGCUAAUUUAUCUUAUAAUUUAGACUGAAAUUUAGUAAGCUCCACGUGACUAAACCACAUGCUUGAUGUCAGUUGCUAUUGAGUAUUUUAACUUGAAUAAGAUUUAGGUAGAAGUUACUGAACAUAAUACAGCAUAUGCAAACCAUGACUUUCAGUUCUGAAUUUUCAGUACCAAGUCUAGUGAUACUUGCUCUGAAAACCUUGGCCCUAGCACGUGGAACUUGUUCCCUGGUACACAAUAAGAGCGCACUCAUCUUUGCUCUUAUUACUAAAUCAUGUCUCUUUAAUCAUUAUAACUUUCCAAGAAAUUGGCGUGACAGCCUUAACUCAAAGUUGUAUGUACCAUUUACUUUCAUUUUCUUAGAUGUCUCGGUACAAGUAUAACUCUCCUGUUAAACUGUAUUUGCGUUGUCUAUAACUUUCUUUUAUGUUGUCAUAAGAUUUUUACAAUAAAUAUUCUCUUCUUUUAGUUUCUUAAUUAAUCAAUGUCUUAAAGGAGAUUUGUUAGCAAGAUCUUUAAUUAUUUUCCUUUCCUGAUACGAAUCAAAACAAAAAUAAAAGCCCCAGACCUGAAAUAUCUUCCCUGUUAGUGUUAGCUAUGACUAUGAGAGUAGCUGAAAAUAUAAUGGCUCUAAUUUGAGUUAGACAUAUCACAGACACACUACCCCGAUAUGUUUGUGUUUCACAUUUCAAGAAAUUUCUUCUAAGCUGCAAAACUAUUAUGAGGAGAUCUAAAGUUCGGGUGCCACCGCUAACUCUCCUCUUCAUUACUUGUCCCUUUCUCUUGUUGGUCAGUUUUGGACGUUUCCUUCAAUUAAGAUAUGCGAAUCUCUGGGCAUUUCAUGAGGCCUCUAUAGACAAACCGAAUAUAUUUAGAUUUCUAGCAACUACAAUCUCUUGGAAUCUUAACCUGCUUCUUUGUAAUAAAAAUAACAGCUUUAGCUAGCCUUAAAUUGUUACUAUUAGUCUAUUACUGAUCAAUUACCUAACUUCCAAAAUCUUUUAUGGAGAGUCGUUGAAAAUUGCUGAUGGAUGUGAAUUGAAAGCUCAAUGAACCUAAUUACUAAUUCCUAUCUUUGUGGGAUCAAAAGAGCAAACGGGUUCAGUAGAAACUCACUGAAAAAGACCACAAUGUUUGAGAAGUAAAAUUUGUGCAUGGACCCACUCAUUGAAGAGUUCGUGCAUCAUGUCAAAGUUCAAACGAGAACCACUAUUAUAAUAAUGAAUUCAACUUUGUCCACUAAACUAUCAUUCAAGAACAAGUAUCAAAAUUGUAUACCACCUCGACUUUAGUCCAAGAAGGCACGAAGUUCAUGAUAUACAGCAAUAAAUUAAUUAAACAGACCAUUUGAGUAAAAGGGGCACCACAGAAAGAAAAGGUAAAACAAAAAUGCAACAACUAAACAAAUCACCGAGUUGAGGAUAUACAAUAAUGAAUGAUACAGAGCAUUUGAGCAAAAGGGGCACCACAGAAAGUAAAAUAUGGAACAAUAUUAUAAAAAGGAGAGCGUGGACAAUAUUGUUAUUAUUGCUAGACUAAAUUUAAUUGAGUGUCAAUGUAAAGAUUUUUUUCUUUGUUAACUAAUCAAUUAUCAAAGUCAGCAAAAAAUUUACACUAUCAGCGGAUUUUAAUUAAGCUUUUAUUAUUACACAUCUAGAAAUUAUAUCUUAACUUAUAUUUUAAAGAAUAAAUACCACCAAUAAUAUAAAAAAAAUUAUAUUAUUAUUCAAUCAUAAACCUUAUGCAUUAUAAAGCUUGUUGAUUUUAAUUAUCUAAAAAGGCAUAUGAGUGAUAAUUUUUUACCGAUUAACCUUAUAAAUAAUUUUAUUUGUUAUUACGUUAUAUGGGUAAAAUAUUGAAAGAUUUUAUUAGUAACUAAUUUUUGUUGAAAAAUCUGAUAAAUCAUUUUUUAUAUGAAUUUUAUUUUUCAACCAUAUUCUCUCUGCCAACCAAAAAAAUAAACCUAAAGUUUUGGUUAAAAAUUCGAAACCCACUUUCAUAAACUCUUUUACAUUGACACUAAGAUUACAUGCAAAUUAUAUGACUUGGUCUCAUAUGACAAAUAAUACAAGUCUAAUAAUAUAGGGAAGUACAGUUGCAACAAUAAUAGGGUGAUCUGGAAGACUACAGAAGCGGCACCCAACAAGCAGGCUUACCCGCUCUAUGAUAUGAAUUCCCUAACAAACAUCACACCCCCUCCUCUCUUCUCUCUGUCUCAGUACUGCAACAUGUCUGCUGAAGCCAUAAUCGGGAGGCUGAAAUUGAAAGGGUUGUUGAAGAAGGUACUAGUACUAGCAUCGGGCUCAAAGAAAUUCAACAAGUGGAUGAUCUGGUUGAGAGAGUCCAACCUGUGGCUGAGCUCGUUCACUUGUGCUCUCAAAACAGAGUUCUCAGCCUCCACCGCCAAGUACUUGUGGCUGGUGAGGUUCACAGACGUGAGAAGCUGCUGAUUCUGGCUCCUGAGCUGAGUCAGCUGCGAUGCUAGAUCAUCCAAGUGCUUCUGCUUCCUCAUUCGAGAUCGCCUUGCCGAUUCGCGGUUCGAUAUCAUUCUCUUCCUCUUCCUCUGAUCCAUCAUACCCUGCAGCUCCGACGACGUCCCUGAAGAUGUUCCACUUGAACAAGCCAUAGUCAUAGUAGUAACCAAUACUUAACAAAAACAAAAAUGGACUACGCAGGACCCAGACCCAGAUAAAAAUAUGUAAGAAGAGAUAUAAUAGGCUUUUAUUUAAUUAAUAAUAAUUAGAAAUCAUGAAACGUAGUAGAGCCAGUAAAGAAAAGCAACGGAGAAGGAUUGAACUAAAUGGGUCCUGCGUCGUCUCACAGUAGAAUUGAUCAUACACCCGGAAAAGAAGAUUUCACUAAGAAUUGGAUACAUCAAUCUCAAACAUCAAGAACAAGAUGUUGGGCAUUUAAAAGGCUUAAAAAAUAAUCAAGAUGAUCGAGCGAGCAGGGGGCUGUUGAAGCACUACGCAGAGGCAGACCAUAAACUAUGUGACCAAAAAUAUCUUAAAAGAAACAAGGAAGAAA
rnacentral:lncRNA from 1 species